rnacentral:rRNA from 1 species
UACGUAGGGUCCGAGCGUUGUCCGGAGUUACUGGGCGUAAAGUGCGCGCAGGCGGCGGUGCUGGCCCGGCGUGAAAGCCCCCGGCUCAACCGGGGAGGGUCGUCGGGGACCGCACCGCUUGAGGGCGGUAGGGGCUGGUGGAAUGCCUGGUGUAGUGGUGAAAUGCGUAGAGAUCAGGCGGAACACCCGUGGCGAAGGCGGCCAGCUGGGCCGUCCCUGACGCUGAGGCGCGAAGGCGUGGGGAGCGAACGGG